CCUACGGGUGGCAGCAGUGAGGAAUAUUGGUCAAUGGACGAGAGUCUGAACCAGCCAAGUAGCGUGAAGGAUGACUGCCUUAUGGGUUGUAAACUUCUUUUAUAUGGGAAUAAAAUGUUCCACGUGUGGGAUUUUGUAUGUACCAUAUGCAUAAGGAUCGGCUCACUCCGUGCCAGCAGCCGCGGUAAUACGGAGGAUUCGAGCGUUAUCCGGAUUUAUUGGGUUUAAAGGGAGCGUAGGUGGUUUGGUAAGUCAGUUGUGAAAGUUUGCGGCUCAACCGUAAAAUUGCAGUUGAAACUGGCAGUCUUGAGUACAGUAGAGGUGGGCGGAAUUCGUGGUGUAGCGGUGAAAUGCUUAGAUAUCACGAAGAACUCCGAUUGCGAAGGCAGUUCACUGGACUGCAACUGACACUGAGGCUCGAAAGUGUGGGUAUCAAACAGGAUUAGAUACCCUUGUAGUC
rnacentral:rRNA from 1 species